rnacentral:miRNA from 1 species
GCAGCUCGGUGAGCCCUCGCUGGCCUGGCAGCGCGUCGGAAGAACAGGGAGGGUGGGGCCGCGCGGAUCUUGC